UACGUAGGGUGCGAGCGUUAAUCGGAAUUACUGGGCGUAAAGUGUGCGCAGGCGGCAGAGCAAGUCGAGUGUGAAAGCCCCGGGCUUAACUUGGGAAUUGCGCUCGAAACUACUUUGCUGGAGUGUGGCAGAGGAAGGUGGAAUUCCACGUGUAGCGGUGAAAUGCGUAGAGAUGUGGAGGAACACCAAUGGCGAAGGCAGCCUUCUGGGUCCAACA
rnacentral:rRNA from 1 species